rnacentral:lncRNA from 1 species
UGAAAAGAGAUCCCUUGCAAUAAAACCUUGAACAAGAUUUAUGCUUUUCAACAAAAAGUGCAAGCUUUGAACAAAAAGGUGUGAUGUUUUUGACAAGUAACCUAUCUAAUUGUGGCUUGAGAGAGAGAGAGGUGCCUUUGUUCUUUGAAAACUUCGGAGAGGGAGAGGAGAGGAGAGGAGAGGAGGAGGAGGAGGAAGAAGAAAGAAAUGGGUAUUUAGAAAAGGAAAAAGGGUAGGUGGGGUCUUUCUGAUUAGGAUUUUACUCUUAUCCACAUUUUAUUUUCCCCUUUAUAAUUUGGAUAAAUGACACUGAAUUUUAGCUCUGUCUUGAAUGUUGACGUGUAUAUCCUCUUACCGGAAUUAAAGAUUGAUUUGUGUUAUAUUUUGGGGUUUUUUUCCUUCUUUCUUUGUAAUUUUGGGUUGAGUUUUGGAAUUUGAGCUGGCCAUGUUUUAAACAAUUUGCUAUAUUAUUACCGGUAAAUGUUUCUGUUGUGUAUUUUCAAUGGAAUAUUCCCCGUGAAAUUAUGAAAAGCGGAUAAAACGCGUAGCUGACUGUGUCUGCCUCUUCGAAUUUUGGAUAAGAUGACGAAUCCUUUAUCUCUUUUUACACUGCACGGAAAGAGUAAAAUCGCUCUUGUUUAUUUGACUUUUUCUUUUUUCCAAAUGCUAUUUUGGUAAAUAAAAGUCUUAUAUAUAUAUAUAUAUAAUUUCAAGUAUUUUCUGAUGAAAAUUUUCGUUUUUAUAAAGAGUUUUGAGAGAAAUAGGAUUUAUGUAUAGUUUUCUUAAUACAGGAUUUAUAUAUAGUUAAACAACAGGUAAAAGUCCUAAUUACAAGAAGCAAACCAUGCAAGGGGGAUGAAUUUUACUAUUAUAAGGAAAGCUAUUACCAAGAGCGCCAAAGCUGCUUUGUUUUUUUCUUCUCUCCUAUCAAUCUCACCUUAAUAAACAAAUAACCAUGAGAUGCUCUGUGCUAAGUGCCCUGAUUAGGCCUUAACAAAUGACAAUUCGCAGCAUCUAACAUCCACAUGGUCAUUAAAAUAUUACACACAAAAAAAAAACACAUCCACGGCAAACACACUAUGGACAUGAGAAUUUCAAACGCAGAAGAUAUUUUUCCCAUUAAUAAUCAUGAGUGAUGAGUCAUGGUACAAGGAACCUAAUCCAAAACAAAACAAAAAAAAAAAAAAAUAGAAUCCAAGUUCAAGUAGAUCCAAAACUCUGCACUUCACUCAAUGGAAGUCUCUUAGAACGUAAGUCAGUUGUUUUUUUUUUAAUCUUUGUUUUGGUGAAAUAAGCCAGUUGUUGGAUGAAGAGACUAUUGAUUUUAAAUUGGAUUGAAAGAGAACAGAAAUAAAGUACAUAAUGGACUCAAAUUCAUCUUCCAUCAUCUAAUGGAUAAAUAUUAUAAGAUUGCAAAAACAACUUGAGAUUCCAAAAUUAGUGCGCUUCAUGUUAAUAUGUGGUGCAUUUGAUAAAUCAGAAAUGCCACCGAAAGCAGUUAUAGAUUAAGAGAUAAUAUGUCCGUCCCUUUGCAUCCGUAUUCGAAUUCUUCUGCUCAUAAAUUAGAGUAGUUUAUGAAAUGCCACCGAGCAGCAAUAAAUGUAGCUUAUAUCUAAAUGUAUAGGACCAAAACCACCCACAUUCAUUUUAUGAUUUAAUAUUAUGGAAGCGUUAUGCAUGCAAGUGCGCCUUUUCUCUGGAUGAAAUGGCAUGACAGUGAGAGCACCUGGGCUUCUAUUCUAGAUGAUGGAUAAUGAUAAAGCUUGGUUACAUGUGCAUGGUAUCUGUAUAUUAGCACACAGAUUUUGGACCAAUUUUUCUGGUCCUUAAAGAAGGCCCAUAGGUUUGGAUUUUGGAACACUGGUUUGCCACAAAACCAAGGCGGAGGUAUCUUCCAGAACAAGUCCAUGAGUUUCGGAACAGCUUUCCUUGUGUCUCUUUUGGUCUACCUAACAAAGAAAUAAGAGCCACAACAAUGCAAUCAUGCAGCAUUGUUCUCCAUAACCUCAAUAAUCAUUCAAUUUACCAACUUGUCUCUUUUUCUUUUUUUUCCCUUCUUUUGUUAGUUUGUUGCAGAACUAACUGCAAAUAUAAAAAACAAAAGAUUAAAAAGAUUAAUUCAAACAUUCAAAGGUUUGAAUUAAUAUGUAGUAUAUAUAUAUGCAAAUUACAACAACGUCUGGAUGUUUGAAGGGGUGGAAGAACAGUGAAAGAAUAUUAAACAAUCAUUUCACUUGACAAGCUCCUCCUCCUUACCAGCCUCUUCCAACUCUCUCAAGCUUCCAACCUUCUGCUCUAUCUCCUCAAUCAGCUCCUCCCUCCACAACUCUGCUCUUGCAGAUUCUUCAAUGUCUGCUUGCUGCAUCACCAACCAUUAAUUAUACCUCAAUCAGAUUUUUAAGUUGCUGGCCAACUACAAUUGAUAUAGGAGGAGGUUUCUAUACAUAUGGAGAUACUGUUUGAAGUUACAUAUAAAGUGGGACCCAGAAGUGCAUGGAAAAUAAUGAACUUAAUUAAGUACCUUCUCAUAAAUCCAAUGUCCAGUACCAUCACCUCCAUCUUUUCUGUACGUUUCUGAAUCAUAGUAUGGAUCCUGAAACAUUCUCCAACAUUUCAGAAUGCUCUCUAAACUAAGCUAAUGAAAAUAUUACAAUUAAUGUAAUAAACUAAAAACAAUGUUAUGUCUCGUUUACAUUUCUUAAUGAUUCAUUUGUUUUAUUAAUCUAAAAAAUUCCUGGUAGAAGAAGAUAUUUUGCUAACGAAAAAGCUUUCAAUGCUGCCCGAUAUCAUACAAAUUCACAAAAACUACAAGUGUCCACAGAAAAGAAUGAAGUGAGACUAAAUGUAGCUACUUAUACCUUCAUGGAACCAAAGAAUAAGCAUCCCCAACAAGUGAACAUGAUGUAAAAAGUAUCUACAAAUAGGAAAGGGAGGGGUCAAACAAAAAAUCUGUCACAAUUUUCAUGCACCCUAAUCCAUCACAGAGUACAUAGAAAAACUAAUCCAAAAAAAAAACCUUAGGAAAGGUGUACUUACAGACGUUCUUUAUGGAUUCAUCACUGAGAUGCACAAUAGAUUUGUGGGUUAUAAGGUCUCUUUGGCCUUCUAUGUGUUCAACUAGAACUGCCAUCAAAGGCCAAUCUGGGAAGGCAUUUGUUUUGCAUAAAGAGGCUCUUUUGCUAUUCUUCCCAACUACAAGCUAUUGAACAAAAUAUAAGACAUGAAGUUAAUGCAGUAAAUGGUUUAACAUAUUCAUGAUUCUGUUUUUUGCUAAUCAAGAAACCAAUAAAGGAAGAGAGAUUCACAAACUGCUUAAUUACCUGCUUGGCCCCACUGAAAAGUUCAGAGCUUGAAGACUGCCUAAGCUGAAAAAGAAGGGCACUCUAAGCAUUUCCAUGUACCAUUUUAAACAUAACAAGAAAAGCAGCAAAAAAAAGUCAUUAACAAGGGAAGGUUGAAUUUUUACCAAUCUGGUACAUGAGCUCGUGUGAGUCAUGUCCAAUUUAGCUGUUUGGAGAGAGGAGCUGUGAAUAUGUGGACUGAUAAUGGUGAAGCCCAUGAUAGCUUCUGCCAUUGUCUCCAAUGAGUUGAAAAAAAAUGCAGUUGUAAAUUGAAGUGUGAGAAUUUAGGCUGCAGUUUUUGUUUUGUUUUUCGUUGGAUUGGAGGGAAAGUGGAUAAGAGAAUCAUUUGCGUCCACCCUUCUAUCACCCUAUGAAACAUUUAAAAUCUAAUACUACAAAUAUAAUAUUUAGAGAAAGUUUACCAACUGGCCUAUUAGCUCAGCUGGUUAGAGCGUCGUGCUAAUAACGCGAAGGUCGCAGGUUCGAGACCUGCAUGGGCCAUUUUUUUAAUCUUUAUCCUUUUUUUAAUCCUUUUUGUUUUUGUUUUUUUAAAUAUAAAAUUUUUAAUGUUCAACUUUAAAGAAAAGAAACCAAUAGCCAACAUAAUAAUCAAUCACAAUCAAGGUAAGUUCAGAGCUUUCGAUGUGCUAUUAGGCUCUUGUUUUCUACGAAUUCUGUCUACUUCUUCGUCCUCUUAUACACACUUUGUUUUAUUUUCCUUAUCUCUUUUUCUCGGAAAAUCUGUCUUCUUUCCAAGAAAUUUUAUGGGGAGGACUGGGUUGUUUGAUCUUGAAAGGCACUUCGCCUUCUACGGCGCAUACCACAGCAACCCAGUUAACAUUUUGAUACACACUGUGUUUGUGUGGCCGAUAUUGUUCACCUCUCUGGUUCUUUUGUACUUCACACCUUCUCUGUACACUUUCCCAGCUGGGCUCAGUCAUGGUUUUCUGUUGAAUUUUGGGUUUGUUUUCACUGUGAUCUAUGCCUUGUUUUACGUCUGCUUGGAUAAGAAAGCUGGGUCUUUGGCUGCUUUGCUCUGUGUUCUCUGUUGGGUUGGAGCCAGUUUGCUUGCUGCUCGCCUUGGAUUUUCUUUGGCAUGGAAGGUAAGCUUCUCUGUUUUAGCUUAUGUCUUUUUUGUUGAUGAUAUCAUUUUGUGGGAAACCACAAAGAUAACAAAUUGGAGAUAAUUUUAAAUUUCAGUAUUUCCUGAUUGUAAUUCUAAGCAUCAAAAUGGCACUUGGAUGGUUAAGUUUCCUCUCUUGUUGCUUAAGUUUACUUAGGGUUAGGAAUUCUGAUUAGAUGAAUUUGAGGAACCACACGGCACUUGGAUGAACUCUGCCCAAAGAUUGAAACUUUAAAUUAGAAAUUUGGGCAAUAGCAUUUUCCAAUUGGUAUUGCAGGUCUUUUGAGGUUGAAACACCAAUUACAGGGUCUUUGCAAUUUAUAAGUUGAGCUAUUGAUUCGUUUUGCCAUUCAUCAGUUGAACAACUGUUCAUCUGUCUAUCCAUGCGCAGAAAUUUACAAUGCAUUCUAAGAGUUAUAUGUUGAAAACUGAAAUCCUAAUUGUUUGAUGAAAUACUUAUUCAGGUUGUACUGGCUGCUCAGUUGUUCUGUUGGACUGGACAGUUCAUAGGCCAUGGGGUGUUUGAGGUGACUAAUUUUGGGCCUUUGAAACUUUAUGCCUUGUUCCCAUGUUCCUAACGUAGUAUACAUUUCCCUGUAAUAUUUUCAUUAGUGAAAAUGAGCGGAAUUUAUAUAUAUAUAUAUAUAUCUCAUGAUAAUUUUUCGUUUUAGAAACGAGCACCAGCUCUUUUGGACAACCUCGUUCAAGCAUUUCUAAUGGCGCCUUUCUUCGUGCUGCUUGAGGUACGUCCUUAAAUCCCAUCUAGAUUGGAGAUGGCUUCUCUAUGUGAUGAUGAGUGAGUCUUGUUUCUGUUUCAUCGUGCAGGUUCUUCAAACAGCGUUCGGCUAUGAACCUUAUCCCGGGUUUCAUGCAAGUGUGAAAGAAAAGAUAGACGCCAACCUCAAAGAGUGGUGCGAGAAGAAACAGAAGAAAAUCUCUUAGUGUAGAUCAGCCACAUGAGACUGUACUAGUGUAGUUUAGCCUCCAGCAAAGAAUGAGAUGAAUGUACUGGUCUGUAUCCAUAUCUAUCAAGUACACAAACUUUAGAUGGAAAUCUAUAAAUAAAAUUUCCCGACUUGAGCCGGAACUGAGCAAUAUAGUUAUCCAUUUGAAAUGAUCUCUGAGCUCUAAAUUGCCCAAGUAAGCCUCCCAAGUAGCAGUAUAUUACACAGGCGACAACUUUCAACUAUAGUAAUUGCUGUAUCUAUUUCUUCAUAACGGGCUUCAGUUGAGUCCAUUUCAAACCUCAUAUCAUAUGAGAAUAUGCUCCAACCAGGCUAUUACCAGGCUCUGGUUUUUGAACUCCCCUGUCCUUCAUUGAUUUCCUCACACUCAUAACUUCGUUCCAUCGGCCCACGCUUGCAUACAUGUUAGCCAGAAGAACAUAGUCGCUGCUUUGACCUUGAUCUGGUUCCAGCUCCAAAAGAUGGCUCCUCACCUUUUCCCCAAGCUCAACGUCACCGUGCACCUGACAUGCUGCCAACAAUGCCCUCCAUACAAUGGCAUUACACUCCAUUGGCAUGCUCCUGAUUAAAUUGUAGGCCUCCUCCACAUACCCAGCUCGCCCCAACAUAUCAACCAUGCAUCCAUAGUGCUUCAUUGUUGGUUGAAUAUGAUACUCUUUGCUCAUAACAUCAAAAUAUCUUCUUCCUUCAUCAACCAUCCCUCCAUGACUACAAGCACACAAAACUCCCAAGAAAGUAACACCAUCUGGUAUCUCAAGCUUUUCCUCCAACAUUUUCGAGAACAAUUCCAAAGCAUCGUCCUCAUGGCCAUGCGUUGCAAGCCCCAGAAUUAUCGUGUUCCAUGACACUAUGUUCUUCCCUUCCAUCUUACUGAAUGUCUCAUAUGCUUCUUCAAAAGCUCCACACUUUGCAUACAUGUCGAUGAGCGAAUUAGACACCGUCACAAUAUCGCCAAGAUUCACUUGAUCAAUACAAGAAUGAACCCACCUCCCAAAAUCUAAUGCCCCCAGUGUAGAACAUGCCGAGAGGGUCACAACCACGGUGGCCUCAUCAGGCUCUACGCCGCUCUGUAGCAGUCGUAAGAACAAGUCAAGUGCUUCCUUGCACUUUCCACAAUUGACAUGACUAUCAAUGAUAGUGUUCCAAGCCACUAAAUCUGGACUAGGUAUUUCUUCAAACAGUUUGGUUGCAGUUUGGUCAUCCCGCAACACACCGUAGAUAUGAAUAAGAGUGUUCCUUACAAACACAUGAGACUCUAGCCCAAGUUUCAGAGUGGCACAAUGCAUCUGUUUGCCCAACAAAUAUGAACCCAAUUGCCCACAAGCUUUGAGCAAGAAGGAGAGUGUGAAAUUGUCAGCCACCUCUCCUUUCUCUUGCAUUCUCUUAUAAAACUCAAAUGCCUUUUCAGGCUUCCUGGUUUUUCCAAACCCCCUAAUCAUAGUAUUCCAUAGAAACCCAUCUGGGUUUUCAAUGCUGCUGAAAACCGAGGCCGCAUAGUUCAUGUCUCCACGCUCCGAAACCGCGCAAAAAGAUAUGAUCUUUCCAAGAACAAAGGGGUUUUGAUCGACCCCAUUACGGAUGAUAUGGCCAUGGGUUUGCUUUACCUCUUUCAUGGUGGUGCACUGCUUGAAAAAGGACAUAACCUUGUGCACCUUUUGAAAUAUGGCGUCACGCAUUUUAUGUUUUGGUUGGGGCCUCUGUAUUCUCGGGGCUUCAACUUGUAAUGGGCAAUUUUCACUUUCCCCUUUUCGGGCUCCUCUGAAAAUUGUCUCAGCCGAGAAAGGAAAAAAAUGAAGAGAGAAAAGUCUUUUGGGUGUGUGUCUUACGCAAGUGGUUUACCUUUUCUUUGUUUGUUUGGGUGAAUUCUUUUGGUUUGGACUCAAAAAGAAAGUAUAGUUUUGCCAAAUGUAAAUUUCAACCUGCAAUGUGGUUGCCUUUAUAUUUGAAAACAAUAAGUAGGUUUUGCCUUUAUACUUAACCAAUGCCAAAUGAGUUUAUUUGGUGGCACAAACAGGAUUUGCUCGUGUGUGUUGUUGGGCCAAAGCCGAAAGACAAAAGAAAGCAACUCAUCUAGAUUAAUGCUUGCGGUUUUCCUGAAAAUUACAAGGACAACAUUGUUCUUGAUGCUCACAAUAGAAGGGUUAAGUUUUUGAAAUUAAGGGUAAGGUUAACUUGUACAGAACAAAAUAGAUUACACAUGUUCUCUUCAAUGUAGUACCUCCAAGCAACACAGAUGCAAAUUUGGAAUUUGCUGGAAAUAAACAAUUUCUAAGAUUUUUUUUAAAAAGGAUUAAAUAGUAACAACCAUAAUUUCAGCUUGUCCAUGGCAUUAGAUAAAUUUGGACACAUAGUUCAUCAAAUAAUCUCACAACGAUUCAUUCAUUUAGGUGAUAGUACAGAAGGGAAGCUUCCUCUUCUCUGUCUGCACAAGUCACUGAGCCUACAACUUUCUUUUUGGUAAUUACAACUCCACAAGUCCUUGCUUGUAAUAACCUACCUCAUCAAAAUAUUCACAAAACCUCUCAUUCUGCGGCCUACGACAAUGUUCAUGUGUGAUCUAAGAUUUAUAUUUGUUAUCUGAAAAAAAGACUUGUUAUUAAGAUUUAUAUUUGUUAUCUUCAUGGUGUAGGCUUGCUAAUGCUCUAAGUCGGUUUUCAUCCCACAUGAACCAAAGCUUUUUCACAUGAUCAACGUCAAAGUGGUUUAGUACCAACAACUCAGACACUGAGAGGAAAGCCUUUACGGCCAUUUCAAAUUUUGAAAGAGUCUUGUUGAAGGCUUCGAGAGCUUUAUGGAAAGCUGAUUCAGCUUCACGGGACUCUCAACUUCCUCACGUUUUAGUACUAGUUUUUGGUGGGCUUCCAACGUGUUAGUUUUUAGUACUAAUUAUGUCUCCGGAUCAUAACAUAAUUAUACAAAUCAAUGUUUUGAAACGCAUGCCUAAGCGAAGAAUGCAACCACAUGGUUGCUGUACACAUGGAUUUGAAAAUGGAUAAAAACUCAUUCCAAAAUUGUAAUAUGACAAACCAACAAACGAGAGGUUCUUGGUUAAACUAGAAACCAAUUUCAACUCUAAUAUUACUUGGGGUGUCAUGAUCUCAUCUCAUCUUAUUAGGAACAAUAUGAUCAUGCAUAUUUUGCCUCUAGCUAGUGUGUGUACUUUAGCAAGACAGCUCAUGCUCCAAGCUUCACAGUUCAAAGAUGGCGAUUAAGAUUGCUCAUCACAAGCUUCAUCCUUAAGCCAUAAGAACAGUCCUCCUCCAAGUCAGAGGAUUAAUUCUCCUAGUCAAACAAUGCGAUGGGUAGAUUACCAAGUCAAGAUUUUAUGUUUGAUUUAUAAAACCUUCAAUUGAGUCAUUAAUUUAUUGCAUUAUUUUCCGCAAUAGUUUUAAAAUUUGAUACUCUCUGACUGCUCUGAUGAGUCUGGCCUUGAAACCCUCCUGUAUCAAAGCCGUCAUAUAUAUAUAUAUAUAUAGAACUUCACUUGAGGAGUUGUAAGCCUUGCGUGAAAAGAUAUGAGAUGUUGGUCUCAAACCUAUCGCAAAUUAGUUUUGGGUUGGGAUGCCCUAUAACUUGUACAUUUCUAUAUUCCAUUAAAUUGUAGGAGUCAUGAUUCAUGACCAUGAAUAAAAUAAUGGCCUUUUUUUGUUUGUGGCAAACACAUGAUUUCAGAUGCGUUCUAUAUAUUAAAUUGUAGGAGUUAUGAUUCAUGACCAUACGUGUAGAAAUCCAGCAAAUUGACUACAUAGUAUAUGCUUGUUUUUAAUCACUAGUAAAAGCCAUGUUUUACCUAUUAACUACAAUCCAAAAUAAUAUCACAGAUAUUACAAAUUCCAAUCAAUUUUAACCCAAAAUCAUAUAAAGAAACGAUUAAUCUGAUAAACUAAAAUGAUACACAAUUAAUGAAGCGAAAAAAACACUCAAAAUGAAUUGUGCUCUUUUAACCAUAAAUAUACAAUUAACGAAUGCGGUGAGUAUUCUAAAUGCAUAUGACAGGCCAAAAAUAUGACAAAUAGUAGGGGUUAGAUUGCAUAAUCUGACAAGACCCAUCCCGGAAUUUCUCGGAAUUCGGAGCAGAUCCGGUCUUGUUACCCACAUCACCCUGAUGCGGGGCCCACUUACUAAAAACCGAGACUCUACCAAAAUUUUGGCAGAGUCUCCCCUGUAAAUUGAGCAAACCUAACAAAAUUCAACCUGCAUAAAAUACAUAAUACAAUCACAACCAGCAACAUGCUUCCAACAUACAACAAAACAUACUAAAUGGCUUCCGGCCUCACAAGUAAAAUCUAACAUGGACAAUAACAAAGCAUCUACUGAAUUUAGUUUACAAGAGCAGUUGAGUAAAAGGAAAUUACUCGAAGCCUAAUCUACUGAUGUAAACGAUUCAGCCUUUGAACACCGCUUGCAACCUUCCUGGAGCGACUACUGGCUGGGAGGCGCAAAACAAAAAACAUGUGAGUGGACAAAAACAAGAUUUGCAUUUAAAAUAACAUAAUAACCCCGCCGUGUAAAAGUAAUGCUCAAGACAUGCAGGUUCACAAUUCAUAAUUAAAUGCUCAAAAACAUAUUUCAUUGAAAACUCUUUAACCACAAAUCACUCCAUUCAUAAACCUCAUGCCCACAAUUUUACUGCUCCUACCAACCCACUGUAUGGACUCUAAUUUCUUCACACUCACAACUAUAUAUACAUAGAUAUAAAUAUAUAAAUAUAACUAUACAACAUACUCAUCACACUACCUAGGUACCGGGGAAACAAUCCAACCGGGGGAUCGUUUGACUAGCCCGCAGGAUUUCCAGGUUGUAUCCUGCGUUUAGGGAUGAGCGGUCCAACCGGGGAACGAAACUCCAUAGCUCACACACCGGAACAUCCAACGCCAUGUGUAGCUCCAAUACUAAGUCCUACGUGCGCAGACUAUAUCAUCACACACCGGAACAUCCAACGCCAUGUGUGAUGAUGCCAAGCAAUAUACAUAAUCUUCCCAAACCCCGAAAAUUCCAACACCAUGUAUGGGAAGUGUCUCAUAAGCCGGAACAUUCAACGCCGCGUGUGGGAAGCCUAGUAACUGAGGAAGGUACUUACAUAGUGUAAUCAUACAACUUCUCUCAACAACCCCUUAUACUCAAGUCCUUCCACAAACUCACCUCAACAACUCAAGUACCCCACCUAUAGACAAUAUAUAUAGAACUUCCCCAAAAUCCAUACAAACAUACUCACGGUGUAAGAUACACUGACAUACGAAGGAGUGUGUGGCCCCCGGAUUAAUUAGAACACGUGCAAGAUAACCAAAGAUCGAAAUCAUGCCAGUAAUCACGUCCGGGGUGGCAUGUGCUUCCUGCUGGGUCAUUGAAGACACUCUGGCCUGAGUAGUAGAACGCUCAUGCUGACCCUUUGAUUGCCUGCCACUCCUGCCCCUAGAAGAUGACAGUGUCCUGCUACUUGAUGACCCUGCUGCAGAGGAAGAAGCACUACUUUGACUCUGAUUCUGGCCCACACUACCCUGCCCUUACUAGGCCUCAGUCCCCUGGACUACUGCAUCACUCUGGAGUAUAAUUAGGCAGCUUCUCUUGGUAUGUCCCACUUGCCCACAAAAGUAGCAUGUCAGGCUACUACUCUGACUUUGUCCACCUCCCUGAGUAUAGCCAGGACAAUCCUUCGCAAAAUGCCCGAUUUGCCCACAAUUGUAACACAUCAAACCUAUCUGCCGGGAAGGAGUCCUGGCUGUGCUGGCUGUAGACUGCUGUCUAGAAUACUGAGUCCAUGCUGAACGAGAAUCAGAUCUCCUACUACUAGAACUAGAUCCUCGUCCUCCUGACCAUCCGCCGCUAGCAGAACUGGAGCUAGAUCCUCCUCUCUUUGAUAGACCCUGACUUGGCCCACCAAACCCUGAUGUAUCUCUGCGGUGCCUGCCCGCACUCCCACUGAAUUUCCUCGCCACCCUUUCAGCUACCUGAGCCAAAGCCCUCAUGUUUGGGUAAGUGUUCGCAGUAACCACUGCCUGAAUCUCCCACCAUAACCCUUCCUCAAACCGUCUACAUAUGUCCUCCUCAGUGGCCACCAGCUCUGGAGCAAAUCUAGACAGCUCAUUAAACUUGUGUUCAUACUCCACCAUCGACAUAGACCCCUAUUUCAGAUAUAGGAACUUUGACUUCUUUGCAUUUGUGUAGGAAGGUGGGUAAAAUUGCUCUGAGAAGACCCUCUAAAAUUCCUCCCAGUUUAUGACAGCCGGAUUCUCAUAACCUCUUUUCACAGCUUUCCACCAGUGGUAUGCAUUUCCUUUCAGCAGAAAAGUAGCCAAGCGGACUCUAUCCCCAACUGGGCACUCUAGAACCUCAAAAAUUCUCCCCACAUCUGUAAUCAAUGACUCGGCUUCUGCUGGGUCUGUGCUACCCAUGAACUCUCUUGCUCCAAGUUCCUUAACCCUUUUAAUUUCAGAACUUUCUGUACCACACCUUCCCCGCAAAGCUGUAGCCAUGGUGCGGGUAAACUAGCUAAGUACAUGCCUCAAAUCCAACGCAUUAUCUCCGGCAGGUGGAGAUGGUGGAGGCGAAGGCACUGGUGGUGACAGAGGUGGUGACGGAGAUGGAGGUGGCAGAUUUGGCCCUCAUCUUUGACCAUGACCUCUUGUUCUAACUCUGCGAGCUGACAUGGUUCUACACAAAGAAACCAUAAAAUCAUUAGAUCAACAAUGCAACAAAAGUGCAAAAGUCGAAGGAAAAUGAACCUAAUGCUAUGAUACCAAGCUGACAAGACCCGCUCCGGAAUUUCCCAGAACCCGGAGCGGACCCCAUCUUGUUACCGAUAUUACCCCGAUGCCGGGCCCACUUACUAAAAACCGAGACUCUACCAAAAUUUUGGCAGAGUCUACCCUGUAAAUUGAGCAAACCCAACAAAAUUCAACUUGCAUAAAAUACAUAAUAUAAUCUCAACCAACAGCAUGCUUCCAACAUACAACAAAACAUACUAAAUGGCCUCCAGCCUCACAAGUAAAAUCUAACAUGGGCAAUAACAGAGCAUCUACUGAAUUUUGUUUACAAGAGCAGUUGAGUAGAAGGAAAUUACCUGAACCUAAUCUACUGAUGUAAACGAUUCGGCCUUUGAACACCGCUUGCAACCUUCCUAGAGCGACUACUGGCUGGGGGGCACAAAACAGAAAACAUGUGAGUAGACAAAAACAAGAUUUGCAUUUAAAACAACAUAGUAACCCUUCCGUGUAAAAGUAAUGCUCAAGACAUGCAGGUUCACAAUUCAUAAUUAAAUGCUCAAAAACAUAUUUCAUUGAAAACUCUUUAACCACAAAUCACUCCAUCCAUAAACCUCAUGCCCACAAUUUUACUGCUCUUACCAACCCACUGUAUAGACUCUAAUUUCUUCACACUCACAACUAUAUAUACAUAGGUAUAAAUAUAUAAAUAUAACUAUACAACAUACUCAUCACACUACCUAGGUACUGGGGAAACAAUCCAACUGGGAGAUCGUUUGACUAGCCCGCGGGAUUUUCAGGUGCUAUCAUGGGUCUAGGGAUGAGCGGUCUAAUUGGGGGACAAAACUCCAUAGCUCACACACCAGAACAUCCAACGUCAUGUGUAGCUCCAAUACUAAGUCCUAUGCGCGCAGACUAUAUCAUCACACAUGGGAACAUCCAACGCCAUGUGUGAUGAUGCCAAGCAAUAUACAUAAUCUUCCCAUACGCCGGAAAUUCCAACGCCGGGUAUGGGAAGUGUCUCACACGCUGGAACAUUCAACGCCACGUGUGAGACUAAUAAUAACAUGUUCUUCCCACACGCCGAAACAUCCAACGCCACGUGUGGGAAGCCUAGUAACUGGGGAAGGUACUUACAUAGUGUAAUCAUACAACUUCUCUCAACAACCCCUCAUACUCAAGUCCUUCCACAAACUCACCUCAACAACCCAAGUACCCCACCUAUAGACAAUAUAUAUAGAACUUUCCCAAAAUUCAUACAAACAUACUCUCGAUACUCAAAUAUGUCAAACCCACAAUAUAUUGCCAAAGCGCUAUACAAACAUCAAAUUCAACAUAUGAAUAUAAUAUAUUCAAUAUACCAUUUAAAACAUUAUGCAUAAAUCGUUCAUCAAUAAAACCAUGCGUCUGAUUGAAAACAAAGUCCACUUACAAGUAUUCCCACACUGCCUGACCACGAGAGGGUCCCGCUUACUGGGUACGAACGGUCGGAGCACCUAUUUCGAGAUACGAACCCUCAAUUAAUAUAAAAUUACUUCGAAAUGGAAAAUCACAAAUUAAUUACUUAAAUCCCCAAGUUCCCAGUGCGUGUAUGUUGAACGAGGUAUCCUAAGGUCCGGUUAUAGGUUUAGGAAUCGCUCACGGUUGGACGGUUAUCGCUAACCCACAAACUUUGAAUUAUUGAAUUGGAACAUCCGGGCCUCUGAUUCAUGAUCUGCAAAUUCCUAUAAGAUUCUAAGAGAACCUAGAUCAACAUAUUUUAAUUGGGAAACAAUCCAACGGUCAGAAUCUAUCGAACCCGGAUAACGCACAAUAUACGAAAAUCCGUUCGAUAGUCAAACGACGUCCGAAUUGAGAUCCGUGAAAUCCUACUCACUCGUGACAACCUGAGGAUCUCAUCAGGACCAAAUGCAGCUUCACCACCCUUGCCCACGCGUCGCCACAUGCGCGGGCAAUAGGUGGGUGUGUAGUGAAAUUUCCAGCGACGGAAAUUCUCCACACCACAGCUCCUCCUUCCUACCCUAGAUACUACUCGAAGCCAAGAUCACUUUAUUCAACUAUGGGGAGGUCCAAUUCGAACUGCAACUGGCCGAAAUUUCACUUUGAAAUUCAGCCAAACCCUAGGUUUCGAAAUCGAAUUUCUAGACAGCAAAUCGAUCCAAUCCUAUCUCAUAGAUAGCUAGAACAGAUAAAAAGAUGAAGAAUCCUCACCUUUUUUACCGGGAUUAAGCGGCGGAGACGACGGAAAAAAUCAGAGAAAAACCAGUCAAUACCGUCGGCGAUUCUCGAGUUUUCUGGCGGGCCUUGAUCGGGGCAUCGAGACGAAGCUAAUGGGACUGGUCUCGCGUCCUGCCGUGGCCGGAGCUGAGAGAACCGAAGAGGGAGAGAGAGAGAGAGAGAGAGACUGAGGAGAGAGAGAGCUGAGGUGAAAAGAUCUGAUUUUUACCAAAUUUUUUAAAAUAUUUACAAGUUUGCCACUGAUGAUGUUUUGCCCAUAACUUUUUCGUUACAACUCUGAUUCAAGCCUACCGCGUGUCUACGAAUUCGUCUUAGUACGACCUACCCAAAAAUACCAGUCGUGGUCCCAAAAUCCUUCCAGAUAAGAAAAUAACCAAUUUACCCCUACCUCAAGGGUAAAUUUAUAAAUUCACUUAAAUAAAUUAAAAUAAGGGAUUAAAUUUGGAGUCGGGGUGUUACAUAAUCAACAAAAAGAAUUGAUUAAUAAGACCUGCGUUAACAGCCAAACAUUAAUGUCCAAGCAAACAUAUGAAUUCAUGUAUGUCUUGUUACGGUUUAAGUUGAAAUAGUAUAAGGGACUGAUUUUCUCACCAUUGCAUCUACCAAGAUGCAUUGUAAACUAGCAAAUUGAUCAUCCGAUUUGAGGACUUUUGGUCUCCAUGUUCUAUAUACACAAACUCUAAUUGUAAAGCCGAACUGAAACUGCUGGAGAUCGUGGAUCGGAGCAAUAUUCAUUGUGUUUUGAAUCUGAAAAAAAGAAAAAGAAAAAAAGAAGAGGCUUUUGUCACUAUAAAGAUGUGUACAAAAUGAUUGCACAAAAUAGAGGAAAGAAGGAGGAGGCGGCUUGUUGUGCGUUAAUCAGGCAAAACUGAUCAUAUGAAUACCAAAAGGAGGAGAAAAACUCUCAUGUAAUGGGGCUAACACUUUUUGCUAUCCCCGCCAAAUAACGCAGUGACACAUAUGAUAACUUUUUUCGUGUCAUUGUGUUAUUGACCGGGGAUAGUAAAAUAGUGUUAUACCCCUUAUAGAUAAGUAUUUUUCCAAAAGGAUUGCUGGAUUCGCAGCGUGCCUCCCCAAGAGAAAUUGACCGCUCCAGGCGCAUCUCCAACAAUGCGUAGCAGCGCGCCUCCCCAAGAAAAAUCGACGGCUCCAAAGACAUCUCCAACAGCGAACGCGAAGCUUCCAUGGUUGCCCUCGAACCAGCCCAACCAAGCUGGUUUGAAAUGAAUUGGAAACGGAGGCAUCCUCUAAGUGAACGAAACAUCGGGAGCAAAUGAGACGCUAAGGGCCAAGGAGGGCAAAGAGGGAAAGUAGGAAAAGAAAUUUUAGAGAAGGGCAACAAGGUAUUUUCACUAUUGCCGAAUAAGACAAAAGGGAACCAAGAAUAGAAAGCGGGGGCAAAUGUAACUUCACUGUUCCUAAUGAACAGCUUAAGAACAAUGAAGUUUGGAUUCAGUUUUAGUAUAUAUAUAAUUUAUUGAGUUUUCAAGUUUGAUGUUAUAAAAAUAAAAUAAUCAGAGUAUGGGAAGUCCCACUGAAUAUUGGGAGUAGAAUUAUGUUUUCUCUUUUUAGUGUUUACACUGACAGAAUUUCUUCUCAGAUAGAACUCACCGACACUCAGAUUUCUCACUCUCUCUUCUUUCCUCUCACUAUUCCUUUCUUCUCUUCUCUUCUCCAUUGGUAUGUCUAUUGUGCGAAAGCGACAACUAACUGUGAGUGAAAAAUAAACAACAAUUGGCAAGAGAUAAAAAAAGAACAAAACAACACCAACAAGAACUGACAGGACCCGCCCCUGAAUUUCCCGAAGACCGAGGCGGACUCCGUCUUUAUUCCGACAUCAUCCUGAUACCGGGCCCACCUACUAAAUAAUCGAGACUUUCUACCAAAAAUUUGACAGAGUCUCCCCUGUAAUUUAAGCAAUCCCAACCAAAAAUUUACUCAACCUGCAACAUACACACAACAAUAAUAAUCCCACCCAGCAUCAUGCUUUCAUACAUCUACAAGUCAUACUAGAGUGGCCUUCGGCCUCACAAGUAAAAUCUACCAUGGCAAUACAGAGCAUCUACUGAAUUUAGAUUACAAGAACAGUUGAGUAGAAGAAUUUACACAGUUCCUAAUUAGAAAGAUGCACCGAUUCCGCUUCGUACUCCACUUGCACUUCCAAGAGCAACUACUGGCUGGGGGGCGCAAAACAGAAAACAUGUGAGUGGACAAAAACCAGAUUUGCAGUUAAAAACAACAUAGUAACCCCACCAUGUAAAAAUAAUGCUCAAGUCAUGCAGGUUCACAAUUCAAUAAGAAAUUACUCAAAACAUGCUUCAGUAAAACUCAUCUAAAAACAUCAGUUAUCUCUUUCAAAAAGAACCCCAUUCUCUCAAACUUACCACUCCUGUCAAACUAUUAAACAGACUCCAAUUCCUUUCACACUCAACUAUACAUAUUCAAUAAAUAUACAUAUAAAUAUAUAUAUAUAUAUAUAUAAAUAACUAUAAAUGGCUAUACGAUAUACUCAUUACACCACCUAGGUACCGGGGAAAACAAUCCAACUAGGGGAUCGUUUGACUAGUCCGCAGGAUUUCCAGGUGCUAUCCUGCGUCUAGGGAUGAGCGGUCCAACAGGGGGACGAAACUCCAAAGCUCACACACCGGAACAUCCAACGCCAUGUGUAGCUCCCAAACUAUGUCCUACGCGCGCAGACUGGAUCAUCACACACCGGAACAUCCAACGCCAUGGUGAUGACCCUAAACACUAUACACAGUCUUUCCGUACGCCGGAACAUCCAACGCCGCAUACGGAAAGUGUCUCACCCGCCGGAACAUCCAACGCCGCGAGUGAGACUAGUAACUGGGGAAGGUACUUACGUAGUGUAAUCACACCACUCCUCUCUAAUCACAUUCUUCCAUAUCACCCUCCAACAACCCAAAUAUCUCAACUAAAAAGAAUAUAUAUCAAAAUAUACUUCCCCACAAUCCAUAUAUAAAAAUACACUCUCAAAACCCAAAAUGCCAAUCUCACAAUAUAUUGCCAAUUGCUAUACAACCAUCAAAAUUAACUCAUGCAUAUAAUAUAUAAAAUCCAUGAGCCAUUAAAACAUUAUGCAAAAUCUUUCAUCAAUUAAAACCAGGCAUAUGAUUAAAACAAAGUCCACUCACAAGUAUUCCCUCGCUGCCUGACCACGUGAUACGAACCGUUAAUUAAUAUAAAAAUCACGUCUAAGCGGAAAUUACAAAUUAAAUGCUUAACUCCCCAAAUUUCCCAUACGUGCACAUUGAGGAAGGCAUCCUAAGGUUCGAUUACAGGUUUAGGAAGCGUUCACAAUUUUCACGGUUAUCGCUAACCCGCAAACUUUGCAUUUUUGAAUCGGAACAUCCGGGGAUCCGAUUCAGAAUUUGUAAAGUCCCAUAAGGUCCUAGAAAUUCCUAGAACAACAUAUUUUAAUUCGGGAAAGAUCUAACGGUCGGAACCUAUCGAACCCGGAUAACGCACAAUAUGCGAAAAUCUGUUCGAUAGCCAAACGACAUCCGAAUCGAGAUCCGCGAAUUCCUAUGCACUCGUGACAACCUAAGGAUCUCAUCGGGUUAAUUUACAUUCUCACCAGACUCGCCCACGCGCCGCCACACGCGCCGGCAGCGCGUGGGUGCGCAGAGUAAUUCCGGUGACGGAAAAACUCCACACCCGAGCUCACCCUUCCUACCCUAGCUUCUACUUGAGGUCAGGAUCACUUCACUCAACUACGAGAAGCUCCAAUUCGGCCGGCAACUGGCCAGAAUUUCAUUUUGAAAUUCGGCUCAAAACCUAGGUUUUCUAAUCGGUUUUCCAGACUCAAAAUCGAUCAAAACCUAUACAAUCAUCAACUAGAACUCGAAAAAUGGAUGAGAAACCAUACCUCAAUCACCGGGUUUGGGCGGCGGAGGCGGCGGCGCGACGGCUGGAAAGCUCCGGUUCAAAACCGUCGAGCUCGCGGCCGGAAUCUGCAGUUUCCGACGGGGAAAACGGCCAAGCCUUGAUCGGGACGACGGGACGAGUCGAUCGGGACCGGUCUCGGGUCCUGCCGUGGCCGAAACUGAGCGAACCAAGGAGAGAGAGAGUGAACGUCGGGGAAAGAGAGAGACUGAGGAGAGAGAGAGUGUCGCGCGCGAAGAGAGAGAGAGAGAACUGAGAAAAAAAUCUGAUUUUUAUCAAACUUUUUUGAAAUAUUUACAAGUUUGCCACUGACACUAUUUUGCCCGUAACUUUUUCGUUACAACUCCGAUUCAAGCCUACCGCAAGUCUACGAAUUCGUCUCAGUACCAUCUACCCAGAAAUACCACUCGUGGUCCCAAAAUCCUUCCGAAGAAGAAAGUGACCGAUUUACCCCUAUCUCAAGGGUAAAUUCGUAAUUUUAUAUAUAUCGAUUAAAAUAAACAUUUAAUUUGGAGUCGGGGUGUUACAAGAACACCAAGAUUUAUACUGGUUCGACAAUGCCUACAUCUAGUUUGGAGACGACGGAAUAUUCCACUAUAAUCAAUAAGGACAUAUAAUAGUGUUUAUCACUCAAUUUCACAAAGACCCAAUUAGCCCAAGCUCACACACUCACAAUAGGAAGUGAAAACCAAAAAUACAAAGCAAAGAACAAUUUGAGAAUUUUCUUCUCUCUGCCGAAUGACUUCUUGCUAUUUUUCUUUUCCUCACUUUUGAUACAGCAACUUCUCUUCUCCACCUCAUUCAACUGCUGCCAUGCUUCUCCUUUUAUAGAGAGGUCAACGGGUGAAGACCAGCUAUUUCAGUUAUUAGGCCAACUAUGAAGUCAAAACAACCAACCAUAUUUGCAUGGCUUUGUCUCCCACAUGCAGCUGACCAAUUAAUGCAUUCCCAUUACAAUUUAUUUGCCAAUCAACCAACUACAAAUUUAAAUAGCCGACAGAAACAAUGCACGUGGGUGCAAUCUUGAGUCAAAUAGUCAACAGUGUCUUUGCAAGUAGAAAGGAUGCCUAUUUGUAGGCAAAGUAAAUGGCACCCGUGAGUGGUAAGGGAGACAUCAUGAUGCUUCUAUCCAACAUCAUUAUUAACUUUUUGACUAAUAUCUCAUUUUUUUCUUCAUGUGGGCUUCAUCAUUUCCUUUACAACAUUUGAGAGUAUUUAGAUUUAUAUAUAUAUAUAUGAGUUUCAAACAUAAUUUAGGCUGAAAUGGAUAAAAACACAUUCCAAAAGUGUAAUAUCACAAAGCAAUAAACGAGAGAUGUAAAAAAUUUAUACCUCUUUUUACCGAUUCCUCCCAUUCCAACUUUAUGCUAACCCACGAUACCACACCUCUUUUUUUCCUUUUUCUUUUUCAUGAUCUUCAUCUGCAAAAUACAACAUCAAUAUUCCUUUUAGUAGCAAGAAGUGUCAAAAAUGAAAGAAGAAUAAUUCAUGUAUUGAAAUUAAUGUAUAAAUUAUGUACCUCAAGUUGAUCGUUAGGCAUGAUGGUUGAGAGUUUUGAGGUGUUGUGUGGAAUUUGCUAAGGGGUAGGGAGGAGGAGACUUGUUUUCAGUUUUGUGCUUGCUAGAGAGAGAGAGAGAGAGUUUUGAUCUGGAGGCAGUGGGGAAGUAGGGGUGGGUGAGGGUUGAAUAUAUAAUUAUUGAGGUGCCUUGGGUCUUGUUACUAUAGCAUGACUGUGAUUGGGUGUCACAUGUGAAUCAUAUAUUUCUUUCACUUUGGCAUGUAGCAUUCAUAGAAAUUAAAAACACCGCAUGUGAUGCCUGCUUGCUUUUGAUUUAGUGAAAUGGCAGCCUUCUUUAUGUUGGAUUUAUUGGUUGUUCCCAUCCAUCACUCAUGGCAGUAGUGACCAAUUCCAAACAAAAAAACAAACCAAGUGCCCUUUGCUUUUGGCAAGUUUCUCUCUCUAUAUCUGCCUAGCUCUCUUUGCAUCUAUUUAGUUCAGGUACGUGUAUUCAAUUUAUUUAUGCAAUUAUUUCUGUUUUUAACCAUGUACCAUGAGCUCCUCCUCAUUUAUAUGUUUGGUGGGAUGAUACUUAUAUGGUCGCAAGCAAAGCAAGGACAACGUUUGUUUUUUAUUUUGUAGUUUUUUCCCAAUUAUGUUUACUUGUAAUGUCAAAAAGAACAAGAAGAAGAAGAAAAGAAUUUAUUUUGUAUUAAUGUUUUUGGAUGAUAUGAUACCAUACAAGUUACAUUUAUCUUCAAAUUAAAAUCGAUGUCCAAUUUAUGUUCUCUCCUAUUUAAUAAUAAUAAUAAUAAUAAUAAUAAUAAUAAUAAUAUCAAAUCAAAUAUGUGUGAGAGUGAAUUAAGUCAAAAAAAGGUUGCAACACAUGGAAAAUCACUUGGACAAAACCGCAUUCUCUCGUCAAAGCAAAAGUCUGAUUUGGAAUCCAUAGACAGGGUAGGAAAGGAAAAAGAAAUUUUUUUUAAAAAAAGUGAAACAGAAAUGAUUUCAAUGGAAUGUUGCAUAUUAUUUUAUUUUCGAUGAUGAAGGUUUCACCAAAACCCUAGUUAAGUAUGCACGUAUGCAUGAUUAACAUAUUUGAUAGAUUUUGAUAGGAUUGAAAAAGAAAAAAAAAACUAUGUAGGGGCAACAUGUGGUGAUGUGAUGUGAGGAAGAGAGAGAGAGAGUGAACUCGUGAAGUGGGCAACGAAUCUAUGAGAGAUAUUGGAGGGGCUUUUGCUAUUUUUAUUUUAUGGUUUUGUUCGCUCAAUCCCAUUAUACUACAAAAAUAAAUAUACAAAAGUCAUUACUCUACUUUCCCGUUUUACCACACACACACGCUCUCUCUCUCUCUCUCUCUCUCUCCUUGCUGAUUCCAUAGUCUUUAUAGAAAUAACAGCAUACGUUAAAUUAUAUAAACCACACCAGUUUGUCAAUAAGAUCAAACUCAGUGGAUGAUAAUCUUGACUUGUAGAUUAUUGGUCUCAAGUUUGAACCUCCAUGAUACCUUGAUAAUGUAUGUUUGUGUAUAAAAAACCCUCACCCCCCUUAUAAGCCAAUACCCCAUUAAGAUAUGAAUGAGAAGCAGCCAACUAAGCGCCGUGGGACAAUGAUGUUACACAUUUGAGGAAUUACUAGGGCCUUUCAAACCGUAUUUUAGCCAACUAAGUUUUCUUCUAUAUUUUAGCCAAAACUUAUUGUAUGAAAAUCUUCCCUUGUUCUAGUCAUUUUCAACCAUAUUUCUGCAGUCUCUCUAUCUCUAUGCCUCGCACAUGGUAGAAAGAAAAAGAAAAGGUCUACUUGUUAAAAGAUAUAGCUAGGUCAAGAAAGAAAACAUGAAAGUUGAUGUCGUUCUAUUUACUUUUGCAUGAGAUUCUUAUGGGUAAGACGAACAUGACUUGACAACUCUGAGAAGAGCAAUUUCAACUUUGAAUUUAACAUGUGCUAGUGCAGCUGAAUUUAAGAUGUAUCAAUGAUUUAGAUUAAAUUGUCAUGUGCUUAUAACUACAAGCCAUGAUAAUAGCAAAUCACCCGCAACAGAUGACCCGCAACAUAAACAACCUGUAUCAAAUUUACAAUUAGGUCAAUCCAUGACUUGUACAUUUUUAUAUUACAUUUUAUUAUAAAAUAAAAUAAUUAGAGUAUGGGAAGUACCACUGAAUAUUGGGAGUGAAAUUAUAUUUAGCUCUUGUGGUGUUUAUACGGACAGAAUUUCUUCCUCUGAUAGAACUCUUUCUAAGAUAGAGCUCUCACACUCUCAAAUUCUUCUCUCCCUCACUCUCUCUUGUUUCUGGAUCGGUUGUACAUUUUUCAACGGAAGGGGAAGCCUAUUUAUAAUUCCAAUGGCCUCCCAUGGAUGUACAAUGCAUCUCCAAGAUCUUCUUUUUCCAACACAAUCAUUUCUCUUUUUGACUAUCAUUCUCUUAUUUACUUCAUGUGAGCUCCAUCUACAUUAUUUACAACACAUUUUAAUAUAUAAACAUUUUUAAAAAGAAAUGCAUGGAGAGAGGCAGAGUGAGAUAAAAGAAAAGCAACAUAAAAGGUCUUUCUCUCUCACAUACCCAACAUUACUUGCUGGAAUUCAUUCUUUUUGUUUAGUUUAAAGGACCUUCUUUUGUUCUCUUUUUAUAAAUUACAUGUCCCAAAGAAACACCAUAUUUUUUCAGUUCCUGUUUUUGCACUUGCUAAUUAUAAAAAUAAAAUAAAAAUCUGUUUUUACCACCAAUGGCAGACCUGCCAAAACCAUCACACUCCCAUCUAGCCUCCAACCCUUUCAGUUUUUUUUUUAAGUUUCAAACAGAAAUAAGAAAGGAAGCCAACACCAGCUCUCUUAACCAUGGAAAUAUAGCAAAAAUCAGCCAAUUAACUUUUUACCUCUAUUACCGAUUCCAACCAUUCCAAAUAGCUGCAUGCAUGCCCUUUUUUUUUCUUCUUUUUUUGAUACGCCUUCAUCUGCAAGGUAAUACGACAUCAAUACUCCUCACUUCCUUGAGGUCAGAGUCAUGGAACACGAGAAAGUUGAUUCCCUGCUGCUAUCUUCCCAAGCCAAAACCAGGAAAAAUAACAGUGACGAAGACCAAAUAACCAAAGCCAGUCAUAGUCAUAGACGAGGACAAAUUAAUGUGCCAAAACCAAAGCAAAGAAAUGGAGCCCAUAGUACGGACGGUACAAACUAGAAAACAUUAUUGAAACACUCACGUAGGUAGAAUCUUAAUUAAUUAGUUUACUAACCUUUUGUUUAAUUUGUUUUGCAUUUAUGUUAGAAGACUGAUUUUCAUUUUCUAACUACAUACACUCACGUCUUGGAGCAAUGCUGAGAUACGGGCCACGAUGGUCACGUCAUCCUACUGUUACCUAGGUUUGCAUGUUUCAUUCGUUCAACACAAUGACAAAAACAAAGACAAAAACUAUAUGUAUGUUAUAUUAUAUGAGAUAGGGAUCAUAAGAUUCUAAGGAAAAACUAGUGAAAUGUCUCUGUCUGUGUCUGCCUAGGAUUCUAGGGACUACAUAAAGACCUCUGGUUGGUGAAAUAUUAAAGUGUUUGAUUAGCCGAGAAAAUUGAAAAAGAAAAGGUCUACUUGUUAAAAGAUAUAGCUAGGUCAAGAAAGAAAACAUGAAACUGCCAGUGCAGCUGAAUUUAAGACGUAUCAAUGAUUUGGUUUUCUUUCAUGAAUCAUGAUGAUGAAGUGGUUUCACUUGGUACAAAAAUGAUUUGGUUUUCCUCCUGCUCUUGCUCUUGCUCACCUACAUGUGCUAGUCUCGACAAACAAAGCAUGUAUUUGAUUGAUUUGGAUGACCUUCCUUCACCACCUCAUUUCACAACAAACCUAACCAAUCCUCCUAAAUGAAACAACUAGCUUCAUUACAACUAGCAAUUUAGAAACUUCAACAUUUGAUUGAAGUGAACCCAAGAUGAGACAUGCGUCAAUAUUCCUAUAAAUAUAAAAAGAUCCUAAAUUCCUAACAACAUCACAUACAUUAUCAAAUAAAUAAAUGAAUUGGAUCAAGUUACCCUUAUCUUCGAAUUAAAAUUGACAUCCAAUUCAUGUUCUCCAUUUAAUAAUAAGUGUAAGAAUGAAUUAAGGCACAAAAAAAGGUUGCAAACAUGUUCUCCAUGUAUAUUGGGCCUUCAGCUUUUGAUGUCCAUUCUCUCUUUCUGGGUUUGUAUGAAAUAUGUUUCAGCCCCAAAAAGAGAGAGGAAAGACUUGGUUUUUGGUGGGUGGGUGCGUGUUACGCAUGUUUCUAAGUGGAUUUACCUUUUUCUUGUUUGGAUGAAUACUUUUUCCUUGGUUGGGAGAAUUAUUUUGGGUUGGACUAAAAAAGAAGGUAUAGUUUUGCAAAUGUAAAUCUCAACCAGUAAUGUGGUCGCCUUUAUAUUUGAGAACAACAAGUGGGUUUGGCCUUUAUACUUGAAAACAAUGAAUGGGUUUUGGUUUUUCUCAACUAUCUUCCCUGCCUGCCUUGAAUUGAUUUUCUCACAUGGAACUGCACUUGAAAAGCUAAUGCAUAAAUAAUCUGUAUUGGGUUUUGCAGUUGCGGUGUCAGGUGAGAUCACUGAGCCUUCAUUAGAAUGGCAAUGGAAAACAAAUUGACAGUACUUUCUCUGAAAAAACAAGCACUGGCUGAUACAAACUAAGAAUACGCGCACACACACUAAAAAAGGGUGCUCAAUUAAGCCAUUUCUACUUUGGCUUUUGCAACAUUUAUUAGCUCCAAUUGUGACAUUGCCUUACACCCACAUGCUCAAAGUAAAGCAUUAAGCUCUGUAAGUGUGUGUAGGAGAAGCACACAAGUGCUUUUGUAUUUACUCCUUCCUUGUUUUGGUAGUGUUAGGCUGUUUUACACAUGGGGGCCUUGUGCUUCAAACCCAAAAGCACAACUUAUAUUGAGACUGUACUUUGCUGCUUGCCAAAAUGGGCUAGGUAGCAGCCACCAAAGCCACCUUUUAUGGCAAUCUGUGCAAGCCAAUCCAAGUUCAUAGAAGGUGAUCAUCUUCUUCAUAUAAAUUGACUUGACUUGAUGAAUUAUUGAUCAUCACUUUAUGUCUUCAUCAAUCAUAAUUAGAGCCUAAUGCUAAAGCUUUCACUUCAAGCAUUAAAUUUGUUUGAAGCGAAUCUACAUUUAGACACACUGGGAAUCAUUUAGCCUACUCUACUCUAAUUAAAUUUAGUGGGCCGAUGAAGAAGACUAUAUCGUGAUCAUUUUCAGCACAUUUGAUAACGUGUUUAAGAAUAUAAUUAUAGAGAGAGAGAGAGAGAGAGAGAGAGAGAGAGAGUUGAUAAAUAGCUUCUUAGAGCAUUUCCAAGAGAGAUGUCAAAUAUCAAAUAUCAAAUUUAAAUGAGUGAUGCUAUUUCCACCCAUCUGUUAUAUUUUUUCACCCACUUUAUCUUUAAACUUUUAAAGACAAAUUUAACCUUAUUGUAAAAUGACUUAAAAUGACUUAAGGAAAAAGAAAGAGAAAAAAAAAAAAGACGCAGACUUCUGUUCUCACAUAACCCUAUCGUUUGACAGAAAGAAAAAUUAAAAAAAACACAAGAAAGCUAUGACUCCUUGCUCAUGAUUCCUCUUAUGACUUUUCAGUGCUCAUAACUCAAUUCUCAAAUAAUUUUCUUCUAUUUUCUAUUCAUUCAAUCAAAUUGUUUAUGAAGAAGAAAACCACAAGAGAAUGGAUGUUGAAGAGAACGAUUUUGGAGAAAAGGUAAGGAAAUCUUAUUUGAACAGAAUUUCUAAGAUCUUUACGAUUACUUAAAGCAUUGGGAGAUGAGUAUUUCUUGGACUUUGAUUUUUUUUUUCCUUAAACAAAUUAAAAAUAUGAAAACCUAAGGAUGAACAAGUUUAAGCGGACCAGAAAGUUUGAAAGGUGGGUAAAGAGGUUGCUGGGUAUGUUCAGAAAUUGGGGAGCAUGAGCCAUGUUUUGGUUUAAAGGGCUGGUCAUCUUUUGCCUGCUAACCAGCCAUUGUCAUCAAAUUUCGUGAUGUGAUGUUGCUUCUUUUAUCGUUUUACUGCUGUAUUACGUACUAUUGUUUGUUUUCUUCUUUCAGGGAGAUGAAUAUUCUAGUUGUAGUAACAUAGACUUUGAACAUGGAGCAUGUGAUAUGGAAAAUAAGAUGCAACAAAAAUGAGAGAGAGAUGUGUAGGCGUCAGAGAGAUAGAAGACAUGAACAGAGAGAAUAAAGGAAAGAGGAAAUGAGGUAAUAAUUAAAAGGGUAUUUUAGGAAUAUUGGUGGAUGGUAAAAUAGGAUUGUGUUUUUUAAAAUUUAAAUGGUGGAAAUAGUAGCACUCAUUUAAAUUUGAUGGCUGAUGUGGCAAUUUGACGUCUUACACAGCUUUACACUCCACCCUAUAUGUCAAAUUAAAUUAUUAUUUUAUUACAUUUUAGUGUUGAUUUAUUUUUAAUUAAAAAGAAAAGAAAAGAAAAAAUAAUAAAAUAUUUAUUUGACAUCUUUCUUUUGGAAUGUCAAAAAUAACAUCUCAACCUCCAACAUUCAUUUCGCAUCAGCUUUGCCACAUCGGUUGGAGUGAUGUGAGAUGUUAUUUCUAACCGUUAAAUGUCUAUGUGGCACUUUUGACACGUCGAUUGAAGAUGCUCUUAAAUCAGUCUUGUUAAAAGCUAACUGCCUUUUCUUUUCCAAUUAAAUGGCUCCUUAGCAUUUGUUAAUUACAUGACUUUUAGUUUAGAUCCUUUCUUUUCUUUAAUUAUAUGUCUCUUUCUCUCCUAUUCUCAACCACUUCCCCAUCCCCCUUUUUUAAUAUAUUUUAUUCAUUUAAAUCAGAGCUACCACCACAACAUGAUACCUAUCAUAUUUAAUUUGUAAUUUAAAAAACUAUACAAUUAUAGUUGUGGAAUGUUCAUUAUUCUUCUUCUUUUGCUUCUACUUUAGCCUACAGACACGUCCAUAAAUAGCCUACUCCUCCAUAUCAGAUUCUUGUGGGUCUAAAUCUGUGGUCAUCAAAACUAUACUGAAUAAAAUAUUAAAACAAGGAAUUGUUUAACUUAAUAAUGAUCCUCUCUUGAUUAUUUUAUUAAUUACCUUGCUUCUAUUUGACCAUCACUGAGGGUAAGAAUAAAAUUUAGGAACAUAUUCUAAGGUAAAGUGUCAUAUCUCCGGAUAAGUUUAAUUGUAUUCGUUGCUACUUUGGGGACACUUACAAGCUUCUUCUUGUGUGCAUUAUUUCUGCCGUAUUAUUAGCCAACAUGGAUUGCUUUAUCAAAUCCAAGUUCAUUGUCAAACAAAUCCAAUUAAGAAAAUGGGCAAGUUUGUCAACCAUAAAAUAUUGAAAAGAUGCAUCUGUGAAUGUAAAGGAGCCACGUACAAUCCGAACAUAACCAAUUGAAAUCGUUGCAUGCAUGGUAAUGUCAUCACUACAAUCACAUCCCAAAAGUUAGGCAGCGCCAUGAAAAUAGUCAAUCCUCUGCUUCAAAUGAAAGUGCAGAUUCAUGGGGGAGGAGGAUCUUCAUCUUCCCAUCUCAAUCCAAUUACUUGGCUGGCUGGUCUUCAUCACCCGCCUGAGACCUUUGCCUAACCCAAUUUCUAUAUUCUCCAUCAGCUGGCUUAUGGACCAACCACUCCAUGCCACGUGCCUGUUUCUCUUCAUCACCUCAUGUUGGAACAAAGGAAACAGGACCCACAUAGGCCGGCGUCAACCCUAGACCUUUCUUUUUGAAAUUUGGUGCAAGAGAACCCUUAUAAGUUAUACCGUAUUACCUUAUAACAUGGUUUGGCCUGUGAUCAGGUGUGGCAGCACUGCUCGUUCAUUCUAUCUUCACACAUACGUGGACGUCGCCUAUUGGUUCUUUUUUUAGGGUACCGAGAUGAUUAAAAAUUCCUAAGACAACCUAACAUCACAGGUGUCCAGUCCUAACUGGAAUGAUGGAAUCCUUUCCUGAUAAAGAAAGAUCAGUCUCCUUGUAAUUGUAGCCAAAUUGUGGAGUGUGACCGAGCAUGCUUUCCAUAUAGAGAUGAUGACCCAAUUUUUUUCAUUCACUUUUCGAAAUAAUUCUUAAUAUGCAAAUUUGGUUGGUCAAUUGCAAACUUCUUUUCAGGCCCGUUGUAAUGAGCCCACAUUAAAAAGAUUAUUUAGGCCACUUUUGAAGUUGAUUUUAAUUGGCCAGUUAGUUUUAGGUAGAAAGACUGGAAAAUAAAAACUAUAAUUGUCAUGGAAUUUUGGCUGAUUUGAUUUGAGCCUCAUAAUUCAAAAAAAUUGACCUAGUUAGCGGAAAAUUAAACUAUGGUAGUAAAUAAAUUAAUAAAUUAAUUCGUGAAAUACUAACUCCGAAAGAGAUUUCGAGUUCACAUUCCUCACGCUCGUUUCUCAAAAAAUAAAAUAAUAUUGAAUCAUCAGAAUGUAUUAGCUAGCUAGUGUGAGAUUGUAUUUAAUUUAACAUGCAUGCAUGACUUGCGAAAGCAUUAUUGUAAUUAAAAAUAGGCCCCUAGAAAUGAAUUAAAGUCAAAUGGGGACUCAAAAAGUAGCAUUUGAAACCCGCAUUCAACCAUAAAGAAAAAAACCAACAAACGUUACAUGUUGAAAUUACACUAUUAUUGUUAAUGGAGAGGACAAAUUAGCUUAGAUACAUUAACAAAUUCAUUCCAAACUUUCUUUCACCUAACCACUAACCACUUAAUGGCUUUAAUCACUCACUACGCACAUUUGCAUACACCGCCCUUGCAACUUUGAUUAAUUGGUUUGGUCAAUCACACAUAUACUUUGAUUAAUAAGAAAAUUCCUGUAUAUGAGUUAAUAUGAGCACUGCCGUGUUUAAGUGUUUAAGACUUUUUUAUUGGCUUUUUUUUUUCUUUCCAUAACUUAAUUCGAGCUUAAUACGAAAUUAAUGAGUUAAUGUUCAUCAUUGCUUAAAAAACACAAUUGUUAGCAUGAAUAAUAAUAAACAAAUUGGGCUUCCAGUCAUGAUCUUAGGGGGACCGAGAGGGGUGGUACUCUAUCAGUGGUAAGGCUCCCGCUCCCACUUGCGGUUGGGCGGAUAAGGUUAUGUAGUUAGACCGACGACUGAGUCCGCAUGUGUAAAAAAAAUUGCCUAAUCCCCAAUGACAUCGUUUUUCUCUCAAAAAUAAACAAACUGCAUUUACAAACACAAAUAAUACAAUUAUAAUGAGAAAACAACAUCAUUCACGGACAAAAUGGCAAAAAAAAAAAAUAAAUAAGAAAAAAAACUAGUUUUUUUAAUGUUUUUCUAUGCAUUUCUUUUCCUGUUAUAAUUUGGUAUUUUGGGUCAACCCUAUUGUGGUCACUUUCCAGUGAUAAUAGCAUGAAACUCCAUGCAGUGUCGACUUCGUAACCAUUUCAAAUGUCCUCUGUUUUUUUGGAUAUACAGGGUCAUGAAGGUCAUUUCGGCGUGAAUAAAGUGGGCUUUAACUAAUUUUUGAGAGCUGGACACAGCAAAACUUCUGUAAUCUUCUAUGCAUUUGCCACAGCUGUUCUCACUAUAUUUAUUUUCAUAAAGCCUCUAAUUUUAUUUAUUUUCAACACACAAAAAAAUAAAAAAUAAAAAAUAAAACAGAUUAUAUUUAUUAUUAUGAGCUUCUUCAAACUCUUUAUGACGUGUGUGCCGAUGAUUCAGGUGUAUACAAAUAAAACCAACACCAUCCAAUAACAUCAGAGUCCCAUCCACCGUCUCACAGAAUGAAUAUAAUUGGUUGAACUUAAAAUAUAAUUAAUUAAUAAUCAAUCCAAAAUAUGGUAUUGACAAAACUGAAACAUAUUAUAAUUAGUGAUAUAAUUAAAAAAACCAUGCACAGUAUUUGGAUGGUGUUGUCCAUGGUCAAAUUUUUAAGGGGGGCAGAAGGGAGGAAUUAUUACAGAGAAAGUUGAAGAGAAAGCUAAAACGACCAACCUAAGUUGCCUUCCAUUCCACGUUUCUUUCUCUUCCGAAACACCAGUAUUUAGGGGCUUCUGUUUCUCACACUGCUUUUUUUCUCUUAACACCUCAUCCAUCUGAUCCAUCUUCCAGCUCUCUCAACUUUGUUCCAUGGCUUCUUUUCUUUUCCUCUGUGCCCCUACCUCUUCUUUCCACUUACCUAUCCCUUUUCCUUGAGCUUUUCCCUUUUGCUUCUUGGAAACUUACUUUUUUGUUUGAAUCUUUCUGGGUUCUGUUUUUUUCUCUAUAAAUAAAGUGUCUUGGAGUUUUGGGGAGUUGAGAAGCUGUGUUUGGUUUGUACCCAUUGAAGCUUGAGAGAUUCUAAGUUGUGUUUUGAGGUCUUGUUGAUCAAAACCAAGAUUCUGAAACAGGGGUUUUAGACACAAAAAUUCAUUGGGGUUUUAGGGAAAAAACAAGGAAUUAAUGGAACACGUUCCAGCUGGAAUGGUCGAGCAAUAUGAGCAGAUCGAUUUGCCACCGGGGUUUCGGUUCCACCCAACCGAUGAAGAGCUUAUUUCUCACUACCUUCAUAAGAAGGUUAUUGAUAUCAGCUUCUCUUGUAAAGCAAUUGGGGAGGUGGACUUGAACAAGUCUGAACCUUGGGAUUUGCCUGGUAAGCUUCUUCUGAAACACAAUCUGUUUUAAUGUCUGCAAAUGGUUGGAAUUUGCUUUGUAUUGAUUUAAUUUACUUUCUUUUUGGUUUCUGGAUGUGAAGGGAAAGCGAAAAUGGGAGAAAAGGAAUGGUACUUUUUCUGUGUGAGAGACAGAAAGUACCCAACUGGUCUGAGGACAAACAGGGCAACUGAAGCUGGAUAUUGGAAAGCCACGGGGAAAGAUAAAGAGAUCUACAAAGGAAAAUCCCUAGUUGGCAUGAAAAAGACCUUGGUUUUCUACAGAGGCAGAGCCCCCAAAGGAGAAAAGAGCAAUUGGGUCAUGCAUGAGUACAGAUUGGAGGGUAAAUUCUCUGUUCAUAACCUCCCCAAAACUGCAAAGGUAUUUGCUUUUCCUCUGUUUUCCCCUGUUUUUAAAUCUGUUUAUUUGGUCAUGUAUUUGAUGCUAAUGGAAAUAUAUUGUGUCUAUUUUGCAGAAUGAAUGGGUGAUUUGCAGGGUUUUUGAGAAAAACUCUGGUGGCAAAAAAACCCAUAUUUCAGGAUUUGUGAGAUAUGGUGCUCUGGGAAAUGAAAUGGAUCCUUCUGGUCUGCCACCGUUAAUGGAUUCUUCACCUUACAGCUCCAAAACCAAACUCGCCUCUGAGUCCUCUUACGUGCCCUGCUUCUCCAACCCUGAUCCCACUGAUGUUCAAAGAAACCAAGGGAUUGUUGAUUAUAUGAACAACCCUCUUUUUGGUGUUUCUUCAAACACCUCCAACUUUUUCCCAAGAGCCCCAUUUUCCACCUCAUUCUACUCUGCUCAGUCUGCUCCAGUUGCAGCAAAUUUCCAGUUCCCAGGUUCAGUUUUAAUGCAAGACCAGUCCAUUCUGAGGGCCUUGCUUGAAAACAAUGGUUCAAACAUGAGGCAGAGCUUCAAAACAGAGAGGGAAAUGGUCAGUGUGUCCCAAGAGACGGGGCUAACAAGUGAAAUGAACACUGAAAUCUCUUCUGUCAUGUCCAAUCUUGAGAUGGGAAGGAGGCCAUUUGGUGAUCAAGAGGCCCCAGCAGCAGCAGCUGGAGCAGUGGACCUGGAUAAUUUUUGGAAUUAUUAAAAAUUUCAAAUAGCAAGCAUUAUAUAUAAGAUUGAAUGAGUAGUAAAAGAAAAGAAAAAGCAGCUUCUGCUUCUGCUUCUGCUUCCAGUAUUAUUGUUGUGAGUUUGAAUAUUGAUGGUAAGAAAUUGAAUAUUGUGGGUGGGUCUGUGUAUAGAUUUUCUGAAUCCAAAUGAAAAACUGAAUGAAAGUGAAGCAUCUGUUAUGUACUGUAAGAAAUUAUAUCAUGUAUUCCUAUUUAAUUAUAUCAUGUAUUGGCCUCAUUGUUGUGAAGGUGCUCAAGUACAACAUUGGUGACAUAUGAGAAUGAGAUUCAGUUGGUGGAAAUGAUUUUCUUUUCUGUUUUUUACUCUUUAAAAACUUUGUACCUUUAGUUACAUCAUGAGUUUGGAUUUUCAAUUUCUGGUGUGGGGCUCAGGUAAAUGUGGUGUUGACAUUCUCUCUCUCUCUCUCUCUCUCUCUCUCUCUACACACGCGUGCAUGUCGCCCUCAAACACACGGAGGAUUUUGAUAAAUGAACAUGCAGUUAAGUUCCCAGGUAAAUCAUUGGCCUAGCUAGGGUUAGCUUAGAUUAAAAUUUCGACCUCUGUGAUUAACUUUGACUUAAAAUGAUGUGAAGUUUUGUAUUAAUAUAUUUGACAAUGCUCAAGAGGGCCUGAUUAUUUCAUGGGAAUUACAGACAGUGUUUCACAGCUAAUUUAGAAUCAAAUUACAAAUAAAAUUUAUCUAAUAACCAUUAAUUCAGAUGGGUAAUGUGACCGAUGAUGCUGAGUGAUUAGCAAAUGAACUGUUACUUCCAUGAUUAUUUGACUAAUCCUUGCUUGCUUAGUCAAGAUAUGUUCAACCAAAUCAUGGAAGAUGUGGAAUGAAAUGAAAUAUGAAGUUGACAUAUCGAAAUCAUGGAAGCUUGGUUGAAAAUGAGCUUUGGAAGAAACUUUUAAUUGUAGAGAAAAAACACAGCUGUCUGAAAUCAAGUUCACAUUUCAGGAUAAGAAUUAUGGAAACAAUAAAAGUCUUCUCACAUAUAAUAUAUAUUAUUUUUUUGACUUAUUUACACUAACACACCAUUAAGUUUUCGUUUUUUUUUCUUUUCACAAAACUCCCUGAGGUUUUAAAUUAUUUUUCCAAAAUUCCUUUUCGUUGAUUUUUUUAUCUAAAGAUUGAUGAUUUUAUAUAUAAAAUUUGUAUUCAAAUGACAGAGUGAGCUUUUGAGAUUAAAUUGUGCAUAUAUUUGUUGAGAUUGAUUUGCACACGUUUUUUAAAAAUGAAAUCACCAAGUUUUGGACAAACAAACAAUCUAAAACCUGAGAAGUUAUUCGUGUAAUUUUAAAAAUCUUAAGAGUUUUGUGAAAAAAAUAAAAAAUAUGUGAAGAUGUUAGUGUAAAUAAUUCUUUUUUAUAUAUAUAUAUAUAUAUAUUUUUUUUUUUAAGGGUACUAAAAGUCAUUGUAGUUGAAGGAAGGAAAACGGGAUCUUAUAUUUAUACCCAUUAUUAUAUUCUAUACCUUACAUUUUCAUGGAGGCUGUCACACCAGAUUCAUUCCUAUAUGUUGGAUCUUCAACGCUGUCCUCUCAUCCAAUAUCUGUGAAGUAUGAUGCAGGCAAUCCGUUAUCAAGCUGUAAAGCAUGAUGUUAUUGAUGUAAGAAUAUUUACCUUAUUUUAUUAUGAUGUCUUUAUUUUUUUGUAACAUGUGGGUUUUAGUUUUUGACACAUGCAUGCAUGAUCCAAUCACCAAAGAAUUUGAGUCCUGCACGACAUGUUUCCCAUCAGUAAUAUUAUUAUUGUGCAUAUGAUUUUUGUCUUUUACAGAUUCAUUUUUCUUGACAUCAAAUUAAUAAACCUCCAAUCCCUAAGUAUCAAAAGUCACCCCUAAUUAAUCACCCAACAAUAUUAAGGUCCCCCAUAUGCUCAACAAUAUGAUCUCAGGGCUCAGGCCACCCUUCAUCAACACAAACAAUAUUUGUUAAAAUAACUUCUUAUACAUGCUCAGUACAUGAGCAAUGUCAUAAUAUAAGUUAUCGCGCAAGGAACUUGUAACUUAAGCGAUAAAAAUAAUUAUUUAUGUAUUUUUUUAAGUUAUGCGCACUAGGUAUAUGCACCGAGUAUCAGGUAUUUCAAGGAAAUAUUUCUAAUUUCUAAUUUUGUACACCAGGUAUAUGCACCCGGUGCCUUUUUCUUAUCAAGCAUUCUACUUGUGGGGGAAAAAAAAAAAAAAAACUAUCAUUUAAUUCAAAAAAUUAUUGGAUCUUCAAUUUGAAAAAGUUUGCAAUUCUGUAAUUUCAGAAGAUCGCCGUGGGUGUUUGUGUCAACCGAACGUGAGAAGAAAAGCGACGUAACGGAGUCCCAUCGGAGUUAACGUUGAAUGUUGUGAGGUAAGAUUCGGGCACCGAGUUAGGCCUUUCUAACGGUCGACACGUACCCCGCGCUAAUCCGACACGAGCUUCAGGUUUUGCUGGCGUCACCGGGUAGCCAACCAAUGCGAACGCUUCCCGCUACUCAAAGCACGCCACGCGGCCUCAGGUGUUAUGGGCCUCCCUCCAUCUAUGCUCUCUCGUGGAAACACACAACUCUCCUCACAUCAUACACUGACUUUUGUCACCAAAAAAUCUUUUGAUUUUUUCCUUCGCAAAAGCUUUGAUAGUGAACAAGAAAAACAAAACACCAUUUAGUGGUAUUUGUCUUUAAUUAGUUAGAAGAAAUUUCGACUUUGAUUUAUAUGAAUGAUUAAGAAAUUUCAACUUCAAUUGAUAUGAAUGAUUAAGACGAUAUGUAUUUAUGUUGAAUUUGAUAUUUAAUUGUCGCUAACUUAUUACAGUGGUAUAGUUUUGUUGAGAGUAUAUUAAUCAAUCCUACCAAUAUAUAUAUUUAGCAAAAACAAACAAAAGAAUAAGAAAGAAUGUUUUGUAAAAGAAAACUCUCUCAUCAUAACAAAAUAUCGAAAUCAAAAUUCAUUUAUAUAUUUACAUAUAUAGGAAGUCGAAAAUCAAGUUGCAAAGUUCCUUAAUGAUAGCAUUAUCAUGUGUAACUUGGUUGUAUGGUUUUUAUACAUAUUUUAUUUUAGGAUAUUUUCUACUGAGAGGGGCGAUAACAUACUAAACUCACACACACUACACGGAUGUUAGGACCUGAACCUAGGAUCUUUUUUGGAGGAGCAUUUGCUCCAAACUACUACACUAGUUGAGUCCUUUACCUGAUUGCUUGGAUUUUUUAGAGAGACGGACCAAAUAUAGGGCUUUGGUAAGAAGAAAAAAAGUGAAUAUGGAUGGAGUAAAACUAAGAAGUAAUUUUUAUUUAAUUUUUGGUACACAAAAUGAGUGCUAUAUGUCCUAAUGGGAUUCUGAAAAUAGUAACUUCACCCAGUGCGUGAUGGUGAAUGGGGGAAUGAAUUGAAAGACGAUUUUCAAUUGGUUGGUUUGGAUAGAGUAUGAUGUGUGGGUCAAUCAAUCUUAUCCUUCUAACCUCUUUUGUAAAGUCCAUUGUUUUGCUCCAAAGCUAGAUAAAGAAUUAGAGAUAAGAUGGAGGCAUUCGUACUAUUUUUGAUUUUAUUUCCAUUAGGAGAACAGAUUUGGAGGAUUAUCCCUUUCUAUUUUAUUUCAUUACCUUAAUGCUUGCGGUUUUUGUGAAAGUUGCUAGGGCAAUUGUUCUUAUGCUCACAAUAGAAAGGGUUAAAUUGCUGGGGCAUGCACGAUAGCUGGGAUGUGGAGACAUACUUGUCUGGUUUGGCAUGCACGAUACGAUAGUGCUUUCUCUUGGUCACAAAGUCAACAUUUAUUUUCUCAGUGUUUGGUAUAUUUUAAUUACGAUGUAAAUGUGACAAGUUUCCAUGGUUAUCUCCUAAGUUCGUGAUAGAUUAUUUUUAAUACAAGUCCAUUUUAAAGGAGCGAAAACAUUUUCAUUUUCUUAUUCAUUUUCCUUUCCAAGCAUUAAGAUAAGUCAACCCAUUAAAGGCACGUGCAUGUCCAGUUCGUGCAUGUCACGAUCAAAGAAAGAAAUGCAGCAAACGACUUCGAAUAAAUAUUUUGCUUUAAUUCUUUCAUUCAGAAUGCAUGGCCACAUAUACACUUCAAUAACAUGAAUCCAGCAUUAAUUAGCAGUUAAGCGGCCUAAUCACUAAUUAUUUAAUCAUCACAAGAACACAAACGGGUUGAAAAGCCCAAAUUAUAUGUGACCUAUGUCAAGCAAGGCCCAAGAAAACAUAAGAAGGCCAAACUAUUGACUAAGCAAUGACAAAGCAUACCAAUUUUUUUUAACAAAGCGAUAUUCUAACCACUCUUAAUGUAUGAAAAUAAAAAUCAAACUCGGUUCAAAGGGGUUGCAAGUCACACUGCCUUGACCAACUCGGGUAACAUUCGUAUGUACCCACCAAUUACUCUAUCAUUAUAUAUAUAUUUUUAAUAAUUGAAAUAAAAAAUUGAUCUAGUCGUUGGUGUUGUGGGCAUUUGUCAAGGGCUUAUUUAUGCACAGCACAAGUGAAUGACGGGCCAGUGGCCUAUGAAAGUGGUGGCCCACGGCCCUGAAGAUAUUUGUGGGAUAUGCAAAUCCUUAAUUAAAGAGAGCUUUCAAAAUAAAAUUCAAACGCCUGUCUGUCUGUCUGUCCGGAUCUGCCUGGAUCAAGAUGGUAUUUGGGGCUCGAUCAGUAUUGCAGAGAUGUCAUUUGAGGUCACAUGUAUAAGUAUUUUCCACAUUUAACUUGAUGGGGCCAAAACCAGCUGCCUCAAGUCCCCCACCCACCAUUUGUUUAUGUUCAACAUUUCCUUGGUCAUUAUAACAACCCCAGUUUUCUAGCUACCUAUAGGUCAUGACUCAUGAUUGAGUCCAAGAUAGUUGGCAUUAUGUAUAUGCAUGAGUGUGUGACCUAGCUAAUGUUUACAAAUCAUUUCAACAUAGUUUUUUAGUGUGCGUGUCAACAACAUGUGGACUCACGUCUAUCAUCAGUUACAAUAUUCAUUGAAAUUCCACCUUUUUUAAAGAAAUGACGGUCAACAGAGUUUAGUCUAAUGAAAAAUAAUAUUUAUUUGUAGAUUAGAGUUCUUAUAUUUAAACCUUCAUGCUACAUUAUAUAGUCUAGACUCAUUUGUGUUUAUUUUUUAAAAAACAUGACUGAUUGAGAAAAUUUCACUUCCACUUAAAGCGGUAUAUGUAAUAAAAAAUCUCUUUUAUUUCUCUGCUUCCAUACAGUAUAUCUGUCCAAAACUAUUUCUCCUGCUUCCAUACAGUAUAUCUGUCGAAGACUAUUUCUCUGCUUCCAUACAGUACAUCUGUCCAAUUCAUGGCAAGGGUUUUGUUGUGUACAUUUGUUCCUGCAACAAUCAUAAUAAUAAAUCUGAAACGUUCUGCCCUUAAUUUCUUUGUUUGAGAUGAGAGAGAGAAGUUAUGUCCUUAAUAAAGAGCUUAGUGUUGCACGUACAGUUAUGAUUUACUGUGGGUAAUAAAAUGUAACUGCGCUCUUUGCUGUGGUAGGCCAGUGGAGCUAAGUUGAAAUUUGUGUACAAUUCACACCCACUCUGGUACUUUUGCCAGAUGACCAGUAAUUCACAAUUUGAAAAUGCAAUAAACUCAGCAUGCACCGAACGGGCUUUGGAUGCUUUCGCUGUUAUUACGGACAUCCCCAUAGGAAAAAAAGUGUAUGCUAUUUGCAUCAGGCCAGGACUUGCUUAACCGUGCAACUGGUUAAACUAAAAGUAGUGCAAACAGUGAUACUCUGCUUUGAUCUUCCACUGUUGAUUCAGAAAUCAUACUUGUUUGGCACUGAAAAUUUUGGACAUUGACUGACUGCUGGUCUCAAGAGAAUUAAUACUGGGGUUGAAUGGAGUGUUGGAGUGGUGGUGCUGGGAGAAAUUACAAGUGCCAUAACCCAGAAGUGGUACAAUACUACAAUUUUCUUCAUCCUGGGCCCACUUCACAUCAUUUGCAAACCUAAUCUUACUGUUAGUAAACAUGGUUCAGGAACUCAUCGUAACACAACAGACAGACUGCGGUACAUGUUACAGGAUAAGCAAUAUGUAUAUACUUAACUUUCGUAGCUAGGUUAGAUGUAUUUGCUGCUGUAAGAACACCUGCGUAAUUUUGAUCAGAGUUUUGGUUGAGGAAGUAUAUCAACAUUGACCACUGGGUAACAUAAAGAUGCAUGCUUAUUUAAUGUUACGCGACCUUUUUAUUUGGACGUUACAAGUUAGAACCUAUAUCAUGGUGAUCGAGUGGAGACCGACCGAGUGGAGACAAAUUUUAUCCAAAAAAUAAAAAAAUUUGGUCAGAAAUUAAAAAUGUUAUGGGUGUCUGUCCAUUUUGGUUAGACAUUAUAUACGUGGGUCCAUAACAAAGAUAUGUGAUUCAAAGCUUAAUAGUUGAUUUUAUUGACAUAUAUUUGGGGUGUAGGUUUCGACAUGAUGAAGAUGAUAUAUAACACAUGUGUAUCGAAACGAAAGUACGUCUCUUUCAUAUACAAGCUUGCAGUGGCCGUGGCCCCCAUAAGUUCCAUAAAAAAGCCAAUAACUCUUUAACACCUGCUGCAAUAUUAGUUGAAAUAUAAAGCUAUUAAACCUUAUAAUUACAGUACUGGUCCCCCCAAAGACAAGCUACUAGCCCCGCUCGUACUCAGCCACAACAACAACUCAUGGGAGAAGAGAGAGUUAUUACAUUUCAGAGACUUUAACAUAAUAUAUAUGUAUAUAGAUAGACAUAGAUGACAGAACCUAUUGUGCAUGACAAGCCUUUUGUAUCAAAUAUCAGACAAUAGAGAUGCCAAGACCACACAGUUCAUUUUUUGUUUUUGGUUAUUCAUUAUAUCUUGCUUUGUCCUUUUGCUUUAAAUCCAUUGAUGAAGGACUGAUAUUCCUCAACAGGGCUCUUCAUAACCGCUAUCCCAUUCGCUUAUUUAUGUCUCAUUGUAAAGGGCUGGUUUGGAACCAACUAAUUCUGUCCCUUAUAAUUAGUAUGAAGGGAAAUGGUUGCGACAAGGAAUUAAUAAUAAUAAUUGUUUCAAUAUCCAUGUUUUAUUUAGGACCACCACAGAACAAGUGUAGAGAGAUGCUAGGGUUUCAUGGCUUAACCCAGAAGAACCAGUUUAAAAUGCAGCUGAAUUAUUAAGAAGACAUAAAUCUUUCUCCAUUUACUCUCCCGACCCAACGAAAUGAAUUGCGGGUUUUUUUUUUCUCUCUCUCUCUCUCUCUCUCUCUCUCUCUCUCUCUUUUCCUUUUUCCUUUUAUUUCUUUCCCUGAAUAUUAGAUUGCACAUUCAAUUCCAUACAUGAUUAGCUAAAAGGCUGACAUCAUCAUAAAUGAUGGGCCAUUAUAUUUAUAAUUUGUCUAUGAAUUACAACCGGAAUUCGUUUUCUUAUUAUUAGAUACAAUUGAUAGCUGGUUUAUAUUAUUCUAAUUAAAUUAAAUCCAAUUCCAAAGAUGAGAAAGCCAAAGCGGUUCCCAUAUAAGCAAGUUAGAAUGCUUUCUCCCCCGGAAUCACAUCCAGAUAAGGAAGCUUGUCAUGUAAUAGCAUUUGUUAGUCUAUCAAUCUAAUCCAAGCAACUUUGAAUGUGCUCUACGUGUUGAGAGAUUCGAACUCAGGUGUAAAGGGGCUAUCUCAUUACCGUGAUAUAUGUUGUUACAACUUACAAUGUUGUAAAUCAAAUUGAUAAUCAUAUUCAAAACAUGCAUGUGCAUAUGCAUGCAAGUUAUUCAAAAGGAAAGAAGAAUGCAUUAGUGAAUCCUUCUUAUAAUUAAUCAAGAAGUUCAAUUAACCAACAUAAUAUCAUAAGGGUACGUAACAAAGUACUUACCUGAAUAUUGAUGUCUCCAGCUAGACGUGGGACACGAAUUUUAACUUCUUGAACUGCAUGGGUGUUACGAGUCAUCAAUCAUCACAACGGCUCUAACCCUAGCUUACUCAAUCCAACAUCACUUUGACUUCUGUACAACAAGAAGAAGAAGAAAAAAAAACCCAUGUAUUUAUCCGCUAUAAAUAGUAAGGAAAUGUUCACAGUCUGGGUCGUAACCAAAAUUGCCGGAAUUAGCCUACUGUUGCUAUCACUCCAUAGCCUCUAGCUAGUCCUCACAACUCCUCAUUCGAAAACUGUGUCUAGCCUUCAACUUUUUGAAGCUCAAACAACUACUCCUUCACACUCAUUGCCUUUCUUUUUUUGCUUUUUCUUUUUUCCAAUAAUUAACAUAACAUUAAUUAUUAGGGUAUUUAAGUGUCGAUCGAAAUGGGAAAGUCUACUUGCUUUGCUGCAGCAUCGGGCAUAAAGAGAGGUCCAUGGACUCCUGAAGAAGACAGAAAGCUCUUAGAUUUCAUUCAACUGCAUGGCCAUGGAAGCUGGAGCUCCUUGCCCCAAAAAGCUGGUACGUACUAUUUUCUGUUGCAUUAUAUAUUGUAUGCUAACUUGGUUUGGACACACAAUAUACUGAACUUGGUCUGUUUUUAUAGGUUUGAAAAGAUGCGGGAAGAGCUGUAGGCUAAGGUGGAGAAACUACCUAAGGCCUGAUAUUAAGAGGGGAAAUUUCAGUUUGCACGAAGACCAAACCAUCAUUCAACUCCAUGCACUUCUAGGCAACAGGUUAAUACAUAUCUAAUUAUUUUAUUAAUGUUUUGUGAACUUGCAAGCUGAAUGUUUAGGUGCAUAUGCAUGCUUCAUAUGUAUAAUAAUAUCAUACGUGGUUUAGACUAAUUAGUCUAAGACGUGUGUGCUCAUGUCUUGCACCUGAGUUCGAUUCCGCUCCUCAUGUAGUACAACUUUGUGAGCUAAUGAUUCUGGACAAAAUAUAGAUGGUCGGCUAUAGCUGCGCACUUACCAAAGAGGACAGACAAUGAGAUCAAGAAUUACUGGAACACACAUCUCAAGAAACGACUGGCCAAGAUAGGGUUUGACCCUGUCACCCACAAGCCCAAGACUGCCAUUCUUGGCUCUGCCAAUGGUGACCCCAAGAAGUUGUCAAAUCUCAGCCACAUUGCUCAGUGGGAAAGUGCCAGGCUCCAAGCAGAAGCCAGGUUGUCCAAAGAGUCCGAACUACACAAAUCAUCAGCUCAUCAGCUACUUCACGAUCAAACGGCGUCACUUACUCAUGAUCAUCUUCACCAUCAGUUUGCCCCACUCGUUCCACAGUGCCUUGACAUUCUAAGGGCAUCAGCUUGGGAAAGCCUGAUAUCAAUGUCGACAAAGUCAUCAAGCUCAGAUGCUGAUGCACCAACCAGUCACAUCAACGGCGGCCAAAAUCACGUUUCUUUUGGUUAUCAUCAUGAUGUUCAUGAGCAUGGCGUUAAUAUCAUAAGUAAUUUUGAGGGUCCAACAUCGGAUCAUCAGUUCUCAAGCAUGACGGAAUGUGAUGAUUCACGGGCCAUGUCAUCAAUGACGACUGGAUCGCUGGGUUUGAAUGAGCUCAUAGGCCAAUAUUGCGGGAACGAAUGCAGUGAAUUAUUCGAGGCACUCCAGCAAUAUAUGGGGUUUGAAGUUGAGGUCGGGGAUGCUUGGACUAGUUUGGAACAAUUAUUGUGAUAUAUAAUGAUGGGCAUCAAAUCAUGACAGGCAUUUCAUGAUGAAAAUGUAAUCGAGCUAGAGAGAGAGAGGUUAACAAACGUACGUAAGUAUAUAUCUAUCUAUCUUUGGUAGUUCUGAUGAAUGAAUCUCCACCACCUGCAUAAAUUAACAGAGUAGGUGGUGGUUUAUU